rnacentral:rRNA from 1 species
AACGUAGGACACAAGCGUUAUCCGGAGUUACUGGGCGUAAAGGGCGUGUAGGCGGACCUAUAAGUCUAUUCUGAGAGCUCCUGGCUAAACUGGGAGAGGCGAAUGGAGACUGUAGAUCUAGAGUGAGGAAGAGGAAAGUGGAAUUCCGCGUGUAGUGGUGAAAUGCGUAGAGAUGCGGAGGAACACCAGUGGCGAAGGCGGGUCUCUGGGCCGAUAUUGACGCUGAGGAGCGAAAGCGUGGGGAGCGAACAGG